ensembl:lncRNA
CAGGUCCCUGGUACUGCUUUUAUAGACACGGUUUAGCCUCUUCCUUGGCAUUCUCUUUUCUGGUGUGUAUGUGUGUGUGAGCAUGUGUGUGUGUUUUACUUCUGAUUCUGAAUCAAUUUCUCUUUCCCUUCCUUCCUUCCUUCCUUUCUUCCUUCCUUCUCUCCUUCUAUCUUUCCACACCAUGACCAAAUUGAGUUCUCUCAUGAAUAUACUCAGAUUUUCAGAUCAUAAACUAGCAUUAUUGAUGUUAAAAUAAAGGGAAAUUAGAAAUUAUUCUAUUCUAAUCUCUCGUCCAACAGGCGAGGAUACUGAGGCCAAGCGAGGUGAACAAGCUACCCAAAGUCAUAAAGCUGCAUAAGGGCAGAGUUUUCUAAAGCCUACUGUGAAUUGAAAAAUCAAAGCACCACCUACUUUUUUUGAUCCCAGGUAUGUGGUAGAUGAGGUCUUGCUGGAAACCCAUAAAGAGGAGGUGCCUGUAGAACAUGGCAGGCUGACCGCAUCCUCACAUCCCCAGAAGCGCAACUCUCAGUCUAAGGAAUUAUGUAUCCCUUCCUGAUGAUUAAAGAAUUUUAGAGGGUGGAUGUUUCUGUUACAAAAUUACCAACUCUCAGGCUUAUCUAGUCACUGGUUGGCAAGGCACGGAUGCCCCAGUUUGGCUAACAUGGUCCCUGCAGGAAAUGGAAUAGGGCCCCCGGGGAAUAGGAGGAGAAAGGGAGAAGGCAGCUGUGGGCCCUGGGCAUGAAUUUGGAUAGUUGCUGCAGGAUGGUGGUAGCUGGCAUUUGAUUUGGAGGAGAAGUUGAAAGGUCACGGCUUUCAGAACCCUGGGCUUAAAAAUCAAAUUAUGCUGGCGGAGACAGCAUAUCUCACAACAUGGCGGACAUGCCCACAGUCUUCCCCUUUGUACCUUUGGGUUUCUAGAUGUAAUUUCCUGUGGCACUUUUCAUUUUUCCUUUCAAAAGCAAAAUAAUAAAAGAAGAUGGAGAAAGGCUUCUCAUGAUCUCACCUCAUUAAGGGGUCAUUUCUGUUUCUCACAGGAACAAUUUGUUUUAAAAAGCCCCCAAAGUAAAUAUUCCAUCUCUUUCCAGGAUUAUUAAUAGGAGGAUGGCUGUCUGGUCAUACAACUUCUUCUUCUGCUUUUUAUUAA